CCUACGGGGGGCUGCAGUGGGGAAUAUUGGACAAUGGGCGAAAGCCUGAUCCAGCCAUGCCGCGUGUGUGAAGAAGGCCUUCGGGUUGUAAAGCACUUUCAGUGGGGAAGAAAGCCUUGGGGCUAAUACCCUCGAGGAAGGACAUCACCCACAGAAGAAGCACCGGCUAACUCCGUGCCAGCAGCCGCGGUAAUACGGGAGGGUGCGAGCGUUAAUCGGAAUUACUGGGCGUAAAGCGCGCGUAGGCGGUCUGAUAAGCCGGUUGUGAAAGCCCCGGGCUCAACCUGGGAACGGCAUCCGGAACUGUCAGGCUAGAGUGCAGGAGAGGAAGGUAGAAUUCCCGGUGUAGCGGUGAAAUGCGUAGAGAUCGGGAGGAAUACCAGUGGCGAAGGCGGCCUUCUGGACUGACACUGACGCUGAGGUGCGAAAGCGUGGGUAGCAAACAGGAUUAGAUACCCGUGUAGUC
rnacentral:rRNA from 1 species